rnacentral:rRNA from 1 species
UGAUGGGGAGAAGACAUUGUGUCUUCGAGUCGUUGAUUUCACACUGCCGAGAAAAGCCUCUAGAUAGAAAAUAGGUGCCCGUACCGCAAACCGACACAGGUAGUCAAGAUGAGAAUUCUAAGGUGAGCGAGCGAACUCUCGUUAAGGAACUCGGCAAAAUGACCCCGUAACUUCGGGAGAAGGGGUGCUCUUUAGGGUUAACGCCCAGAAGAGCCGCAGUGAAUAGGCCCAAGCGACUGUUUAUCAAAAACACAGGUCUCUGCUAAACCGUAAGGUGAUGUAUAGGGGCUGACGCCUGCCCGGUGCUGGAAGGUUAAGAGGAGUGGUUAGCUUCUGCGAAGCUACGAAUCGAAGCCCCAGUAAACGGCGGCCGUAACUAUAACGGUCCUAAGGUAGCGAAAUUCCUUGUCGGGUAAGUUCCGACCCGCACGAAAGGCGUAACGAUUUGGGCACUGUCUCAACGAGAGACUCGGUGAAAUCAUAGUACCUGUGAAGAUGCAGGUUACCCGCGACAGGACGGAAAGACCCCGUGGAGCUUUACUGUAGCCUGAUAUUGAAAUUCGGCACAGCUUGUACAGGAUAGGUA